AGUGAACGCUGGCGGCAGGCCUAACACAUGCAAGUCGAACGGCAGCACAGGAGAGCUUGCUCUCCGGGUGGCGAGUGGCGGACGGGUGAGGAAUACAUCGGAAUCUGCCUAUUUGUGGGGGAUAACCUCGGGAAACCGGGACUAAUACCGCAUACGACCUACGGGUGAAAGCGGAGGACCUUCGGGCUUCGCGCAGAUAGAUGAGCCGAUGUCGGAUUAGCUAGUUGGUGGGGUAAAGGCCCACCAAGGCGACGAUCCGUAGCUGGUCUGAGAGGAUGAUCAGCCACACUGGGACUGAGACACGGCCCAG
rnacentral:rRNA from 1 species